rnacentral:lncRNA from 1 species
AAAGAAGAGCAGCUUUGUCUCUAUCAGAUAACAAGUAAACCUGACACGUACUUGCCCAGAGUCCUCUGUGUCCUUAUUGUGGUUGUUGAUGUCAGUAGAGGUAGAAAAUACCAGUGAUUUCUGGUGCAACUGUGGAAUCAUAUCUCUUCUAAUUUGUGUGUGCUCACAGGUUUUUUAACAUCUGUACACACAGAGGGAGAAAGAAGAAGGGGGGGGGGGGGGUACAGGAUAUGUGUUUUCAAGAAGGCAUUGUCAGACACACACUCUCAUAUCCUCUUAGUUGUGUUACUGCUGGCCUCGCCGGCUUGAUGCUCAGACGGUCACACACAAACACAAGCCAUUUCUGCUCACUUGUGCUCCAUGGUGGAUUGCUCACUGGUAUGCAUGGCACCAACUGAGCAUUUGAAGAUGAUGCGAUUGCUGUUCCUGUGCCUGCUGCUGCUGCUGCCAGCUGCUGCCGCUGUUUCAGAAGAUAAUGAAGGAUCAGCUGAUGAUGAUAUGGAUGAUGAGGAUUUAUAUGCAGGCGUUGUGGGAAAGGGUGUUCCUGACUCGACUGCAGAUAAAACAACGGGUGUGGACGAAACCUCAAAUCAGCUCACCAUGAUUUUCAUUAUUGUCGCAGUGGCGGUGGUGACUAUCUCAGUUGCAGUAAUAGUUGCUGUAAUAUUAGUAAGACGCAACAUGAACAGUCGGCAGCAAGGAGUCUACUCAGUGCCCACAGAACAGGACCAGAAACCAACCGUCUAGUGAAUGGAGGAGCUGCAGCGCUAUAAUACAAAGGAGUGACAAGAGGCAGCGCAAUAGGAAGAUAAAAACCCUGUUCCACAUCUGCUCAGCCUCAGCAAAGAGAGAAACACGUGGAAAUAGCCAGUGUGAACACCCUCUUGCAACUCUGCAAAUUAAUCGACCACCAUGAAUGAUGAUGUUUUCUUUUUCCCCCCUCUCAUUUUCAUUUUGAAAGGCUUUCACUUUAGUCCCGCAGAUUGUAAAUAGCUCUCUGAAUGCAGUGGAGAGCCAGAUUAAUGCCUCCCACACACAGAGAGAAGCAUGGUGUGAAGAAGAAGGGGAAAAAAAAUCUCACAAAUUAAAUAAAGUGGGAUGAUUGGGAAAAUAACA